rnacentral:lncRNA from 1 species
ACUGGGUGUCAUGCUCUAUGAAAUUUUACAUAGAAGACCUUCAAAUAUAUUAAUACCUCCAGUUUAGAUUCAAUCUCACACAGGCUUCUUCUGUACUUUUUUUAAUAUUUAUUUUUUAGUUUUUUAGGUGGACACCAUAUCUUUACUUUUCAUUUUAUUUUUAUGUAGUGCUGAGGAUUGAACCCAAUGCCUCAUGCAUGCUCGGUGAACACUCUACCCCUGAGCCACAACCCAGCCCUUCUUCUGCACUUUAUUCUCUAUUUUCCAUUUUCUCUGAUGACCCUGAUUCCCAACAAUUUCAAUAUGAUUCUGAAUUUCUUCUGUAUUCCAAUGAACACAGAAUUUUUCCACUGAUACCACUGCUUAUAAUGAACCCACCCAGGUAAGGUUAGGGAUUUCUUUGUGGCACUCUUUUCCUCACUUAGAAUGUAUCUCCCAGGAUGCACAGGGAAAUGGAUUCAAAAAAUAAUUGUAUUAUUUUUUUUCUCUUGGAAGUCAUGUUAUGAAUGUGAUAUGUGGUUAAGUUCAUUUGUUUCUGUGUGUAUUCAGUGGAGGGUUUGUUUCCAUUAUUUUAGUGCGUUUUUGAAUAUGCAAAUUCUUGACCUAGUUCAAAAGUCAAAAUGGGGGCUGGGGUUGUGGCUCAGUGGUAGCGCACUCACCUAGCACAAGUGAGGCCCUGGGUUUGAUCCUCAGC